rnacentral:rRNA from 1 species
GAUGAACGCUAGCGGCAGGCCUAAUACAUGCAAGUCGAACGAUAGUAUUAAGCUUGCUUAAUAUGAAAGUGGCGCACGGGUGCGUAACGCGUAUGAAACCUACCUUAAUCAGGGGGAUAGCCUUUCGAAAGAAAGAUUAAUACCGCAUAAUAUCACGAUGGGGCAUCCUGUUGUGAUCAAAUAUUUAUAGGAUUAAGAUGGUCAUGCGUGACAUUAGCUAGUUGGAGAGGUAAUGGCUCACCAAGGCGACGAUGUCUAGGGGAUCUGAGAGGAUGGCCCCCCACACUGGUACUGAGACACGGACCAGACUCCUACGGGAGGCAGCAGUAAGGAAUAUUGGUCAAUGGGCGGAAGCCUGAACCAGCCAUGCCGCGUGCAGGAAGACGGCCCUACGGGUUUAAACUGCUUUUAUUCGGGAAUAAAUCUUUCUACGUGUAGGGAGUUGAAUGUACUGAAAAAAUAGGAUCGGCUAACUCCGUGCCAGCAG